rnacentral:lncRNA from 10 species
CUGAGCUUCGUAAAGGUUGCACAGAUCAAAAGAAGCAUAGCAAAGGUUUUAAAACCUGAACUAAAAUUUAAACUACAAAAGGUGGCUGACUAGAAGCAGCUAGUGUGCACUGCUCUCAUGGAGAGGAGACAGAGUGGUAAGUAAACAUCAGCUCUUCAACUGAAUCAUCCAGGAGGACAUUCGAGGAUUCAUCAAGGAAGCAAUGCAACCCAUGGAGAACAGAGAGGAGUGAGACAGGAUAGCUGCUCACCCAGGAUUGGUGUGGAGCCAAGGGAGACUCCCCAAUCAAUGUGGGGAAAUGGUGAGUGAGAGCCCCUGGGAUAAAGGCCAAACCUAUAUAUAGGGCUGAGGAGUGGGCAGACUGAAUGCCUCGCCUUUGCUGUACCUUGCUGGACAAGGCCCACCGGCCUGGGACCCCCAGCAUGACCACCCCAGCCCCACCUGAGCUCUCAGGCUGGUAGCAGUUCUGCAUUUCCCUGGGACAGAGCCCCCAGAGGUAAUAGGCAGGCCCACCAUUUUUGCCACUGAGCAGCCCCACUCCUACUGGCCUCGGGCUCAUGAGAAAGAGCUUAAGGAUGACUGUGCUUCAGCACAGCAUGGCUGCCUUACGGAAAAGUAGCCGGGACGCCUUCCAUAUGGGUCCCUGUCCCUGUUACUUUUCACUGGGCAGGGCCUCUCUACCUGGCUGCCAGUACAACUCUGCUGCCCCGACUUGAACACUUCAGUCAGUGGCAGCUCUGCAUUUUACUGAUGAGGAAAUCCCAGAGACAACCCACAGCCACUCUGCCACUGCAGCUGAAGUGGUGCUGCGCUUAUUGCCCUUACUCUAGAGAAGGAACAAAGGGACUGGUCACUUCACUGCCACUUCCAGGAUACCACAACUGCCAAACAGAGAGGAGCCUAGUCUCUCUUCCUUGUGAGUGCCCACCCUGUACUCUUCACAAGGCAAGGCCCCCAGGAGCAUCUAUCCCACACCCAACUGAACAUUCCUACUGGCAGUAGCUCUGUAUUCAAUUCAAUGACAAGAUUUAACUAUCCUAAAUAUAUAUGCACACAAUACUGGAGCACCCAGAUUAAUAAAAUAAGUUCUUAGAGACUUAUGAAGAGACUUAGAUAACUAUACAACAAUUGUGGGAAACCUUAACACCCCACUGACAGUACUGGAUAGAUUGUUGAGGCAGAAAAACUAACAACGAUAUUUGGGACCUUAACUUGACAUUUGGCAAAAUGGACCUAACAGACAUCUACAGACCAUUCCACCCAACAUAGAAUGUACAUUCUUCUCAUCUGCACAUGGCACAUACUCUAAAAUUGAUCACAUACUUGGCCAUAAAGCAAUUCUCAACAAAUUAGAAAAAAAAAAUCCUACCAGCCACACCCUUGGAACACAACUCAAAGAAACCAGAAAUCAAUACCAAGAAGAUCUACUAAAACCAAACAAUUAAGUGAAAAUUAAACAAUCAACUCCCCAAUGACAUUUGGGUAAACAAUGAAAUUAAGGCAGAAAUCAAGAAAGUCUUUGAAACUAAUGAAAACAAACAUACAACAUACUAGAAACUCUGGACACAGCUAAAGCAGUGUUACAAGGAAAGAUGAUAGUGCUAAAUGCCCACAUCAAAAAGUCAGAAAGAUCUCAAAUCAACAACCUAACAUCACACCUAGAGGAAUAUGAUAAACAAGAG